UCAAGCUGUAAAGGGCGCAAGGGGAAUGCCUUGGCACUGAGAGCCGACGAAGGACGCGACAAGCUGCGAUAAGCUACGGGGAGCCGCAAAUGGGCUUUGAUCCGUGGAUUUCCGAAUGGGGAAACCCGAUGGAGCAAUACUCCAUCAACCAUGACUGAAUACAUAGGUCAUGGUGGGGAACCGCCUGAACUGAAACAUCUAAGUAGGGCGAGGAAGAGAAAUCAACCGAGAUUCCGCUAGUAGUGGCGAGCGAACGCGGAAGAGGCCAAACCGGAGGUAGCAAUAUUUCCGGGGUUAGGACUGCAAUAUGUAACUUUAAUCUUUAACUGAAUGCUUUGGGAAGAGCAGCAAUAUAGGGUGAUAGCCCCGUAAGUGAAAAGGAUUGAGUGCUAGCAGUAUCCAGAGUACCAGCGGACACGUGAAACCCGCUGGGAAGAUGGGGGGACCAUCCUCCAAGCCUAAAUACUACUCAGUGACCGAUAGUGGAGCAGUACCGUGAGGGAAAGGUGAAAAGUACCCCGGGAGGGGAGUGAAAAAGAACCUGAAACCUUGUGCCUACAAGCACCGAGAGUCCGUUAAUGGAUGAUCGGGUACUUUUUGUAGAACGGUCCGGCGAGUUAAUAUUUGCAGCGAGGUUAAGGAACUGGAGUUCCGGAGCCGCAGCGAGAGCGAGUCUGAAUAGGGCGUAUGAAGUUGCAGGUAUUAGACCCGAAACCGGGUGACCUAUCCAUGAGCAGGCUGAAGCGGUGGUAAGACACCGUGGAGGGCCGCACCCACGUCUGUUGAAAAAGCCGGGGAUGACUUGUGGAUAGCGGAGAAAUUCCAAUCGAACUCGGAGAUAGCUGGUUCUCCCCGAAAUAGCUUUAGGGCUAGCGUUGGCUUAGAUUACCGGAGGUAAAGCACUGAAUGGGCUAGGGGCCGAUAAGGUUACUGAACCCUAUCAAACUCUGAAUGCCGGAUAAUUGAUGGCCAGCAGUCAGUCUACGUGAGAUAAGUCUCGUGGACAAAAGGGAAACAGCCCAGACCCACAGCUAAGGUCCCAAAGAUACGCUAAGUGGAAAACGAUGUGGAGUUGCGAAAACAACCAGGAUGUUGGCUUAGAAGCAGCCACUCAUUCAAAGAGUGCGUAAUAGCUCACUGGUCGAGUGGUUUUGCGCAGAAAAUGUAACGGGGCUAAGUGUUCAACCGAAGCUUAGGCAUUGCAGUAAUGCAUUGGGUAGGGGAGCGUCGUAUGCGGGGUGAAGUCAGAGCGGAAGCACUGGUGGACUGCAUACGAGUGAGAAUGCCGGAAUAAGUAGCGAGAAUUAUGUGAGAAUCAUAAUGGCCGAAAAUCUAAGGUUUCUUGGGGAAGGUUCGUCCGCCCAAGGUUAGUCGGGAGCUAAGCUCAGGCCGAAAGGCGUAGGCGAUGCACAUACGGUAGAAAUUCCGUAACCACCGAACAUUUAAGCUAGAGGGACGCUUUCAUUAAGUCUAUCCCGGGCGAUGGUUGCCCCGGGCGUAAGGGACCGAAAUUUAGUAGGGAAGUAGACGGCGUGAGAGACGAGAAAAGCUCUAGUGUAUACUAAGGUGCCCGUACCGCAAACCGACACAGGUAGAUGGGAUGAGUAUUCUAAGGCCAACGGGAGAAGGGUUGUUAAGGAACUCGGCAAAUUGGCCCCGUAACUUCGGGAUAAGGGGCGCCUGCGAGAGCAGGCCGCAGUGAAAAGGCCCAAGCGACUGUUUAGCAAAAACACAGCUCUCUGCUAAAUCGAAAGAUGACGUAUAGGGGGUGACGCCUGCCCGGUGCUGGAAGGUUAAGGGGAGUGCUUAGCGCAAGCGAAGGUGCGAACUUAAGCCCCAGUAAACGGCGGCCGUAACUAUAACGGUCCUAAGGUAGCGAAAUUCCUUGUCAGGUAAGUUCUGACCCGCACGAAUGGCGUAACGAUUUGGGCACUGUCUCAACAGCCCGCCCGGCGAAAUUGUAGUACCGGUGAAGAUGCCGGUUACCCGCGACAAGACG
rnacentral:rRNA from 1 species